UAAGACACAAUUUGUGAGGAAAGAUUUUUCUACCUGAUCCCGGGAAGUCCCUUUUGGACUUUUUAGUUAGGCGGGUUUACCCCAAAGUGAUUCAACAUCAGGCCUCCCUCCUCCAUCUUGCGUAUAAAAGGCGACUGCCAGGUAGCGAAUUUGGUCAGCGAUAUUGAUUCAGCGGUUCGAGAUGGAUGUCAAUGACGAGGAUGGUUGGUCGUUCGUUUACAUUGUUCGAAGGCCGAUUGAAGACGGAAAAACUCGUCAAUCUAUUCGAUGACGGUCCAGCGGAAAUUCAUCACCUAUGGGAAAAACGAAAAGAUUGACUGUUUUAAUUAAGAUUGGAGUUUUUGAAGUCAAGGUAUCAUAAUUUCUUACUACAAUCUCACGGUCUGUGAACAAAAUCAUCAGCCCUCACCUCCUAACACUGCUGAACUUUUUCAAAUAGUUGCUGACUCAUUUUGUAACCUUCGGAAUUUUAUUGUCUAUGAAUCUGUGUCCCGUAAUUCGGGGAUUUUUUUUCAGGAAUACAUUUCGCGUUUGGCCUAGCUCAAGGCUUUUUCUAAA